rnacentral:rRNA from 1 species
CCUACGGGUGGCAGCAGUCGAGAAUUAUUCACAAUGGGGGAAACCCUGAUGGAGCGACGCCGCGUGGGGGAAUGAAGGUCUACGGAUUGUAAACCCCUGUCAUGUGGGAGCAAAUCAAAAAGAUAGUACCGCAAGAGGAAGAGACGACGAACUCUGUGCCAGCAGCAGCGGUAAUACAGAGGUCUCAAGCGUUGUUCGGAAUCACUGGGCGUAAAGCGUGCGUAGGCAGUUUCGUAAGUCGUGUGUGAAAGGGGCGGGCUCAACCCGCGGACGGCACAUGUUACUGGGGGACUAGAGUAAUGGAGGGGGAGCCGGAAUUCUCGGUGUAGCAGUGAAAUGCGUAGAUAUGGAGAGGAACACUCGUGGCGAAGGCGGGUUCCUGGACAUUAACUGACGCUGAGGCACGAAGGCCAGGGGAGCGAAAGGGAUUAGAUACCCCUGUAGUC